ACGGGUGAGUAAUACAUCGGAACGUGCCCAAUCGUGGGGGAUAACGCAGCGAAAGCUGUGCUAAUACCGCAUACGAUCUACGGAUGAAAGCAGGGGAUCGCAAGACCUUGCGCGAAUGGAGCGGCCGAUGGCAGAUUAGGUAGUUGGUGAGGUAAAGGCUCACCAAGCCUUCGAUCUGUAGCUGGUCUGAGAGGACGACCAGCCACACUGGGACUGAGACACGGCCCAGACUCCUACGGGAGGCAGCAGUGGGGAAUUUUGGACAAUGGGCGAAAGCCUGAUCCAGCCAUGCCGCGUGCAGGAUGAAGGCCUUCGGGUUGUAAACUGCUUUUGUACGGAACGAAACGGUCUUUUCUAAUAAAGAAGGCUAAUGACGGUACCGUAAGAAUAAGCACCGGCUAACUACGUGCCAGCAGCCGCGGUAAUACGUAGGGUGCAAGCGUUAAUCGGAAUUACUGGGCGUAAAGCGUGCGCAGGCGGUGAUGUAAGACAGUUGUGAAAUCCCCGGGCUCAACCUGGGAACUGCAUCUGUGACUGCAUCGCUGGAGUACGGCAGAGGGGGAUGGAAUUCCGCGUGUAGCAGU
rnacentral:rRNA from 2 species